AGAGUUUGAUCAUGGCUCAGGACGAACGCUGGCGGCGUGCUUAACACAUGCAAGUCGAACGGAAAGGCCCUUCGGGGUACUCGAGUGGCGAACGGGUGAGUAACACGUGGGUGAUCUGCCCUGCACUUUGGGAUAAGCCUGGGAAACUGGGUCUAAUACCGAAUAGGACCACGCGCUUCAUGGUGUGUGGUGGAAAGCUUUUGCGGUGUGGGAUGGGCCCGCGGCCUAUCAGCUUGUUGGUGGGGUAAUGGCCUACCAAGGCGACGACGGGUAGCCGGCCUGAGAGGGUGACCGGCCACACUGGGACUGAGAUACGGCCCAGACUCCUACGGGAGGCAGCAGUGGGGAAUAUUGCACAAUGGGCGCAAGCCUGAUGCAGCGACGCCGCGUGAGGGAUGACGGCCUUCGGGUUGUAAACCUCUUUCACCAGGGACGAAGCGCAAGUGACGGUACCUGGAGAAGAAGCACCGGCCAACUACGUGCCAGCAGCCGCGGUAAUACGUAGGGUGCGAGCGUUGUCCGGAAUUACUGGGCGUAAAGAGCUCGUAGGUGGUUUGUCGCGUUGUUCGUGAAAACUCACAGCUUAACUGUGGGCGUGCGGGCGAUACGGGCAGACUAGAGUACUGCAGGGGAGACUGGAGUUCCUGGUGUAGCGGUGGAAUGCGCAGAUAUCAGGAGGAACACCGGUGGCGAAGGCGGGUCUCUGGGCAGUAACUGACGCUGAGGAGCGAAAGCGUGGGGAGCGAACAGGAUUAGAUACCCUGGUAGUCCAA
rnacentral:rRNA from 1 species